CCGGGUGCUGCCCCGCCCCCACUCACGUGGGAUUCUGGCCGCUCCAUCUUCACGCCGCCGGCAGACACUAGAACCCGUUCGAUUCAACUAACUUUUAUUAGGCGCCUGCUGUGUGCAAAGCCCUGAACUCUGUAGUAGGCUGAAGAAACGGCAGUGCGCCCCGGGCCUGGCCUCCGCCCUCUGAAAGAACUCGGUCCGCUAGACAUCCGUGCCCUCCGCUGCCUUCCCUCCAGCUCCCACCCGUGCCCUCCGCUGGCAGGAGCACCCGCGCAGAGCCCUCGCUCAACCGGCAGGCCGCUAGGAAGAGGCAUCGCCGCCGGCGCACACCCUCGAGGCGAGCCGUGGCCACCAGCGACCUGACACCCAGCGGGGUGUCCUUACCCACCAGGACUCCCGGCCCGCGCUCCCCAAGCCCGCGCGGGUCGCAGACCAGAGCAGGCGCUACCUCCCCACCCCGAGCGCACGCGGCCGGACCGCCCCACACUCACGGCGUGCAGCGGUCGCUGUACUCAUUAGCGAUCGUCUCGAUGCCGCCGGCGCGGGCCACGGCGACGUAGCAGCUCUGGAAGCCCAGGUCUAUCCCCACGACCGACAUGGCGCCGGCUACAGUUCGGGCUCAAGCCCAGGUCCGGCCGGCGAAACGGGACACGGACCCAGGUGGGGCUGGCGCGCGGAGUGCGGGCCGCGUGGGCCGGGGGCCGGGGGCUGGCGGGGGACGUGAGGGAGCCCUCGCGGGCGCGUAGGUCCCUGGGAAGGGAGCCGCCGCGGAGAGCGCUGCUCAGGCCGGCUCCGGCUCAGCGGCCGCAGAAGAGGCGCCGGUAGCGGGGGCGGAGAAGAUCUCGAAAGAUCUCGUCGCGACGAGAGUAAAGCCGUAGCGCGAGAACUGCGAAGGAGAAGCGUGAUCUCGCGAGACCCCGGCUCAGACGCUUUUCCUUCUGAAGUUCCGCCCCCAGUUACGACGAGCCUACGUCAUGUCCAGGCAGGAAAACCUCGGAAGGGAUGGAGCGGGUGAGAGAGGGGUGGGAAGCCAAUUGAGCCUGCGCGCAAAGCCCGCCGCAGCGACUCCCAAUGGCGGCCGAAAGCAGUGGGGCGCCUUGCCUUCUAGAAGAAAGUAGGAGAGCCAGCUUGAGGCAAAAUACCGAAGAGGCCGUUGGCCUACUUCCGCCGUUUUUCUGCAUCAAAGAAACUUCCGGUGAUGGGACCUCCUGCGCCCCACUUUGUGUUGCGCCCCCAAAAUGGAAGCGCAGACUAAGCUUCAGAACCCAGAGAGUCUGCGCCCUUAGGGCGGGUCGGCCCGUUGAGGACCAGGCUGCCCUUGGAAAGAGGCCCUGAGACGGGCCUUAGGUAGGUCUCUGUCCAAGUCCGAGACAGCGCCCUCCCCGGCGGAGAACGGGAAUCGUCUCGGUCGCACUGGCGUGGUUUUUCUCAGUCUUGCCUCACCGUUCUCUAAGCUGCUGACGCCCUUAGAGGCCGAUAAGACUUAAAACUUGAAAUCCCCAACACAAUCCAAGCACCUGUCCUGAGCUGAAUGCAAGAGUCACAGAUGGAUGAUACGCUACCUAGGUCCGCUCAGACCAGCCAGAUUUAAAUGUAUAAUAUAAGCUUCAACCUCCCAAAACCCGAAUCCCACCGGCCUUGAGGACAGCUAAAAAAGUAAAAUGAAUCCCAAUACAAGGCGGCAAGUGUUAUGUGCAAAAUGGAGGCGGCUAGGAGGACUUUACAGAAAGGCAAAAGCCUGCUUUCAAGUUGUGGAAAAAAAAAAACACAGCUUAGCAUGGUUUGCUGAAAACUACAAAAACUGAUGUAUUGCUGAAACGGAGACUGAGUUGAAGAUCUCAACCUUAAGGCUAGAACAAUCGGAUCUUUUAAUGAAUGAGCCAAGAAGAAAGUACAUUUUCUCAAAUCUCCAUUUCUCACACACACACCCUCAGUCUCCUGGAGCAGUGCCCAAAGGCCAGAUUGUUUGCCUGUACCCUUGCAAAGUACCACACAGUUCUUAUAUUUUGGCUAAACUGAACAUGCUUUGUCUUCAACACCAAGUACUGAGUGCUACCUAAAGUGGGAGGGAGGUGGGUAAUAGGAGUACAGGCAGCAAGAAAAGGCCUUUGAGCAUAGAGAACAGGGAUAAACAGAUACUCUACACCCAUGUUUAUGGCAUUAUUCUCAAUAGCCAAAAGGUGAAAACAACCCAAAAAAUCACUGAUGCAUGAAUGGAUUUUUAACGAUGUAUACAUGCAAUGAUAUACUAUUCAGCCUUAAAAAGGAAUAAAACUCUUUAACACAUGUUACAACAUGGCAGAACUUUAAAAACGUUAUGCCAAGUGAAAGAAGUCUGACAGGAAAGGAUAAAUUUUGUAUGAUUCAAUCUAUAGGAGGAAACUUUAGAGGAUGCUUUUGGGCAAUCAACUUGAACUAUGUAAGCCUGAGAAAGGAGGAAGGCCUCCUGGCUGAUACAGUCCCAUUAGGCAACCCACCUCAAAACAGCCAUAAGCGCUAACUGACCAAUGGGUUAUUUACACCCAUUUGUUGUAAAUCAGGCACCAAAAAAGGAAAAUGCUGUGAGUUCCCAUACUCUCACCUUUCCUCUUGUACAGCAGCCCCCUAGCACUGCCUCGGGGCAAUCUCUGUUUUGCUGUCCUGCCCACCACUUCAUUGGGGAGUCUUCAGUAAAUUUCUACCUCCUUUGUUCUGCCUUUGGUGAAAGAAUUCACCCGAUCUGGUUGCCCCACAUUUGGUGGCCCCCAUCCAAUAUCGACAUGCCACAGAAAUCAGUAGGCAAAUUCAUGGAGACAGAAAAUAGAACAGUGGUUAGCAAGGGCUUACGAGUAGAGGGGAAUGAAGAGCUACUGUUUAAUGGGCAUAAAGUUUUGGUUUGGGAUAAUGUAAAAGUUCUGGAGAUGUAUAUUACUGGUGGUCACACAAUAGUACAAAUGUAUAUGUAAUGCCACUGAUAUAUAUACUUUUAGAUGGUCAAAAUGAUAAUUAUGUGUAAUUUACCACAGUAAAAAAAAAAAAAAAAAAAAAAAGGUUGACCUUGACCUUCUGUCUUAUAUUUGUGUCCUACCUAGGAGGAUAUCAAUGGCACCAAGAACAGUAUUGGCCUUUGUAAUGACAGAGUCCUGUGUCUGCCCACUCUGGGUUAUAAGCACUGGGCAGACAGAGACCAGGCUGCCAUAGGCUGAAGUGACUUUUCUACUUAAAAUAUCAGUAGGUCUGGGGGAACCUGAAUGGCUCAGUCAGUUAAGCAUCUGACUUCUGCUCAGGUCAUGAUCUUGGGGUCAUGGGACAAAGCCCCAUGUCAGGCUACCACUCGGUGGGGAGUUUGCUUAUCUCUCUCCCUCUCCCUAUGCCCCCCUCCUCACUCGUGCUCCCUCUCUUUCUCUCAAAUAGAUAAUCUCUAAAAAAGAAAAUAUCACUAGGUCUGGGUUAUGAAUUCUUGCCUUCCUUCUUGUGGGAGACCUCCCCAGCCUUUAACUAAACUGGCAAAAAUGUACAACCGUAUCUUUUUGUGUUCCACCAUCAUACCUACCUACCUUAUUUGCCCUGGCUCUGCUUUCAGUUUAAAAUACCAUUGGCCCUAUCAAUCUUUUUAAUGAUUUGUCCUUCUCAAAAUAAAACAUAACAUCAGUCACAGAGAGUACUCAUCCUGUUAUAAAUAGUUUCCUGGAUCAUCAAACUUAUAGCUCAAGAAGCUAUUCUGGGAUGUUUAAGUAAAUGAAGUCAGAAGAAAAGUUAUUUAAGAAUUCUGAGGAAUCUAAAGUGACAAGUUUCCAAGAACCACAAUAGUGAAGCAAUGAAGCUGCCAGAACAUUUCAUAUUGAAGGCAUCAUGGUUGCAGCAAAAUUCCUUUUAUUCAGCAGAGCAUCUUGAGAAUUGUAGAAGGAAGUUAUUGCAGGCAUUUCUCUGAUACAAUGAUUAAAUUUAGUUUUAAGCAAUCA